rnacentral:sRNA from 19 species
AUAUAAGAUGCAAUAACUAUGAUCUCAUAUACAAUAACAGUCGUGAACUGAUUAUAUCAUCGCGUCUGUUUAUGUGCAAUAAAAAGAACCUGGCGGAAAAAUCCAGGUUCUUUUUUGA